rnacentral:rRNA from 1 species
ACAACGCUGCGGCAGGCCUAACACAUGCAAGUCGAGCGCACCUUCGGGUGAGCGGCGGACGGGUUAGUAACGCGUGGGAACAUACCCUUCUCUACGGAAUAGCCUCGGGAAACUGAGAGUAAUACCGUAUACGCCCUUCGGGGGAAAGAUUUAUCGGAGAAGGAUUGGCCCGCGUUAGAUUAGAUGGUUGGUGGGGUAAUGGCCUACCAAGUCUACGAUCUAUAGCUGGUUUUAGAGGAUGAUCAGCAACACUGGGACUGAGACACGGCCCAGACUCCUACGGGAGGCAGCAGUGGGGAAUCUUAGACAAUGGGCGCCGGCCUGAUCUAACCAUGCCGCGUGUGUGAUGAAGGCCUUAGGGUCGUAAAGCACUUUCGCCAGGGAUGAUAAUGACAGUACCUGGUAAAGAAACCCCGGCUAACUCCGUGCCAGCAGCCGCGGUAAUAC